GAUGAACGCUGGCGGCGUGCUUAACACAUGCAAGUCGAACGGACUUAUAUGAGAGCUUGCUCGAAUAUAAGUUAGUGGCGGACGGGUGAGUAAUAUGUGGGCAACUAACCAUAUGCAGGGGAACAACACGGAGAAAUCCAUGCUAAUACCGCAUAAGCCCGCAGUGUCGCAUGACACAGCGGGAAAAGGAGCAAUCCGGCAUAUGACGGGUCCACAUCUGAUUAGCUAGUUGGCGGGAUAACAGCCCACCAAGGCGACGAUCAGUAGCCGAUCUGAGAGGAUAAACGGCCACAUUGGGACUGAGACACGGCCCAAACUCCUACGGGAGGCAGCAGUGGGGAAUAUUGCACAAUGGGCGCAAGCCUGAUGCAGCAACGCCGCGUGAGGGAAGGAGGUUUUCGGAUCGUAAACCUCUAUCAAUAGGGAAGAAACAAAUGACAGUACCUAAAUAAGAAGCCCCUGCUAACUACGUGCCAGCAGCCGCGGUAAUACGUAGGGGGCAAGCGUUAUCCGGAAUUACUGGGUGUAAAGGGUGAGUAGGCGGCAUAAUAAGUUAGGUGUGAAAGCCCGCGGCUCAACCGCGGAACAGCACUUAAAACUAUUAAGCUAGAGUACAGGAGAGGUAAGCGGAAUUCCUAGUGUAGCGGUGAAAUGCGUAGAUAUUAGGAAGAACACCAGUGGCGAAGGCGGCUUACUGGACUGAAACUGACGCUGAGGCACGAAAGCGUGGGGAGCAAACAGGAUUAGAUACCCUGGUAGUCCACGCUGUAAACGAUGAAUGCUAGGUGUCGGGGAGGAAUCCUCGGUGCCGGAGUUAACACAAUAAGCACUCCACCUGGGAAGUACGAUCGCAAGAUUGAAACUCAAAGGAAUUGACGGGGGCCCGCACAAGCGGUGGAGCAUGUGGUUUAAUUCGAAGCAACGCGAAGAACCUUACCAAGGUUUGACAUCCCUUUGAAACAUUAAGAAAUUAGUGCCUUCUUCGGAACAAAGGAGACAGGUGGUGCAUGGUUGUCGUCAGCUCGUGUCGUGAGAUGUUGGGUUAAGUCCCGCAACGAGCGCAACCCUUAUCAUUAGUAGCCAGCGCGUAAAGGCGGGCACUCUAAUGAGACUGCCGUGGAGAACACGGAGGAAGGUGGGGAUGAGGUCAAAUCAUCAUGCCCCUUAUAUCUUGGGCAACACACGUGCUACAAUGGCUCGAACAAAGUGAAGCGAGACGGCGACGUUAAGCAAAGCACAAAAAACGAGUCCCAGUUCGGAUUGUAGUCUGCAACCCGACUACAUGAAGUUGGAAUCGCUAGUAAUCGCGAAUCAGCAUGUCGCGGUGAAUACGUUCCCGGGC
rnacentral:rRNA from 1 species